rnacentral:rRNA from 1 species
GACGAACGCUGGCGGCGUGCUUAACACAUGCAAGUCGAACGGAAAGGCCCUGCUUUUGUGGGGUGCUCGAGUGGCGAACGGGUGAGUAACACGUGAGUAACCUGCCCUUGACUUUGGGAUAACUUCAGGAAACUGGGGCUAAUACCGGAGAGGAGCUCCUGCUGCAUGGUGGGGGAUGGAAAGUUUCGGCGGUUGUGGAUGGACUCGCGGCUUAUCAGCUGGUUGGGGGGGUAGUGGCGUACCAAGGCUUUGACGGGUAGCCGGCCUGAGAGGGUGACCGGCCACCUUGGGCCUGCGAUACGGCCCAGACUCCUACGGGAGGCAGCAGUGGGGAAUAUUGCGCAAUGGGCGGAAGCCUGAUGCAGCAACGCCGCGUGCGGGGUGACGGCCUUCGGGUUGUAAACCGCUUUCGCCUGUGCCGAAGCGUGAGUGACGGUAAUGGGUCAAGAAGCACCGGCUAACUACGUG